rnacentral:lncRNA from 1 species
CUAAAUUUCUGUGCUCGGAAAACAACAUAUGAUCAACAUAUACAUUUGUACUCAUAUUUGUUCUUUUUUUCAUAUGAGGCAGACUUCAUACAUGUACAGGAGCUUCUAAAGAGGUUUGAAAAGAUGGAGAUGUGGUAUGAUUACCAAUGUGACAACUAGUCACAAUUGAUUUGGGUAGAAGGGACAAUAAGUAAUGCCUUCAACCAUGAGUAUAAAAGACCAAAUCAGAAAAAAUAAUGGCUAGAUUUAGG